rnacentral:tRNA from 1 species
UGGGAUGUGGUGUAACGGUAACAUAACUGACUCUGGAUCAGUUGUUCAUGGUUCAAAUCCAUGCAUCCCAGCCA